UGGGUUGCAGUUGAUUGAGGGGUUGGCCAAAGGGUCUCCAUGGGAACCACCGAACAAUCUAGUUUAUUGCCAAGGCUACUGAUUGUUCUCUGCAAGCUGAUGGUGAGGCCCUAAUGCUGAAGACGACACUUGCAUAACUCAUCGAACACAGAGAAGUCAAACUGGUGCCUACCUUAGAGCCUUCGCCCCUAAGGACCAGAGUUCAUGGCAGUGGGUUUAGUCGCACGCUGCAUGCGACUAAAGGAGAGAGGAAUUAGGUGCAAGGAUAUUGAGUCCGCUCUUGUGGAACUGGACAGUCACCAAGAGCUGGGUUUUGAGUCGCUGCCAGGGAGAACAAAAGCCAAAUUUAAAGAGUCCAUCAAAGAAAGAGGUAGAAGCAAGGCAGAGAGAAGUUGUGGGAGAUUUGAUGAGGGAGACAAAGAAGCAAAGUGGCUAUCUGCUCACUUUUUGGACCAAGUGAAACCUGAGCACGCUGCUAGCAUCCUCUUUCUUGAGAUUCCCCAACGUAUCUCAAUAAACAUCCAUUUGUACAGUGAA